ACUGAUCAUCCUCUCUCCACAAGUCCAGCUUAUUUCUUCCUCCUCUACCUCUCAAGGGAAUCAUGAAAAUCCAUAAAAUCAUCUAACAAGCAUCUCAAGUCCUUUCACUUUCAGCUUGUGUGUUGACAUAGUAUCAGAUUAUUGAAGCAUACAGGUCAAGAAAAAGGAAGACUUUAUUCCUUGAUGUAACUAGUUUCCGUUGAUUUGAGUUUUAGCUACUAAAAAAGAAAAAAAUGCCCUUUGA
rnacentral:lncRNA from 1 species